CGGGCAUCUGGGGUAUGGGCACUCUGGGAAGUUUGGAACCACAACUACUUCGAGGAGCAGAGCGCUUGGAUUUCAGCGAUCAUGAAACACAGAAAAAACAAGGAGGCUCUGGCAGUUUGGUGAUGACAAUGGACCCUGUGCUACAGAGUAGAGCAUGAGGGAAAUGUGAAGUGGAAAUGGAGACCACUUGCCACGGUAAUAAAAGAGGCAUGACAAAGCGAUUUGGCAUUGGAUGUGUUGUGGAGGCGACGACCACAGCAGCUACAGUUGGAAGGCAGCGAUCGCCAGUAGGUGGAGGACAGCAAGAUGGCUUUGUUGAGUGAACAGCACUAAGGGUGAUUCACUUUUGUAUUAGUCCCUAAGGGACACAGAGUAAUGUACAUAUAACUUGCAUC